AACGAACGCUGGCGGCAGGCUUAACACAUGCAAGUCGAACGCACCUUUCGGGGUGAGUGGCAGACGGGUGAGUAACGCGUGGGAAUCUACCCUUCUCUACGGGAUAGCUCCGGGAAACUGGAAUUAAUACCGUAUACGUCCUGAGGGAGAAAGAUUUAUCGGGGAAGGAUGAGCCCGCGUUGGAUUAGCUAGUUGGUGGGGUAAAGGCCUACCAAGGCGACGAUCCAUAGCUGGUCUAAGAGGAUGAUCAGCCACAUUGGAACUGAGACACGGCCCAAACUCCUACGGGAGGCAGCAGUGGGGAAUAUUGGACAAUGGGCGCAAGCCUGAUCCAGCCAUGCCGCGUGAGUGAUGAAGGCCCUAGGGUUGUAAAGAUCUUUCAGUGGGGACGAUAAUGACGGUACCCACAGAAGAAGCCCCGGCUAACUUCGUGCCAGCCGCCGCUGUAAAAC
rnacentral:rRNA from 1 species